AGUGAACGCUGGCGGUAGGCCUAACACAUGCAAGUCGAACGGCAGCACAGUAAGAGCUUGCUCUUACGGGUGGCGAGUGGCGGACGGGUGAGGAAUACAUCGGAAUCUACUUUUUCGUGGGGGAUAACGUAGGGAAACUUACGCUAAUACCGCAUACGACCUACGGGUGAAAGCAGGGGAUCUUCGGACCUUGCGCGAUUGAAUGAGCCGAUGUCGGAUUAGCUAGUUGGCGGGGUAAAGGCCCACCAAGGCGGCGAUCCGUAGCUGGUCUGAGAGGAGGAUCGGCCACAUGGGAACUGGGACACGGUCCAGGCUCCUACGGGAGGGAGCAGUGGGGAAUAUUAGACAAUGGGGGCAAGCCUGAUCCAGCCAUACCGCGUGGGUGAAGAAGGCCUUCGGGUUGUAAAGCCCUUUUGUUGGGAAAGAAAAGCAGCAGGUUAAUACCCCGCUGUUCUGACGGUACCCAAAGAAUAAGCACCGGCUAACUUCGUG
rnacentral:rRNA from 1 species